AACGAACGCUGGCGGCAUGCCUAAUACAUGCAAGUCGAACGAGACCUUCGGGUCUAGUGGCGCACGGGUGCGUAACGCGUGGGAAUCUACCCUUGGGUUCGGAAUAACGUCGGGAAACUGACGCUAAUACCGGAUGAUGACGAAAGUCCAAAGAUUUAUCGCCCAGGGAUGAGCCCGCGUAGGAUUAGCUAGUUGGUGAG
rnacentral:rRNA from 1 species